rnacentral:siRNA from 1 species
UUGGUUCUUUUACCUACGCACUAC